rnacentral:ribozyme from 13 species
GGAGUAAGGACUACUUUUCUGGACACUUCUCUUCUUUCGGGUUCUUUUUCUUUUUCUUUUUUCUUCUUCUUA